ACCCAAGGGGACAGAUGACCUUUCCAGGUCUGCCUUCACAGUGUCGUGACUAUGGGAGGUGGGGGCAGGAACGGUGAAAUCUGUAGCACUCGGGGGGCUUUUGCGGUACAGGUUAAAGCCUGCAAAUAUACUUUAUAAUCAGCAUCAAGCUGUCAUGAGCGACUUAGCCUCAUGGCAUUGCUCGUUUACUGCGAAAUGUCUUGAAUUAGUAUGCCAGAAGCCUUCAACAACUCAAUACUACUAGCGAGCGACGUUUGGAUUAAGGUCAUCAGGAAAAUAGCAUUGCCAAGAGUCUGGGCAUCGAGCUAAUCCAAUUGGAAAAUGUUACCCUGUAAACAAGCUGUCUGCCUAUGUGUUAUGUAGUCUUGAUUAGCACUAAUAAUUUUACUCGGAUCUUUAUGAAAUCCUCACCUAAUAAAUAUGGCACCCAAGUGUGUUUUAUAUAUGUGCACUUUGCGCAAGGCCCUAGCUUUGAAACGAAGUUUUUAGCACUUUUGGGGCGAAAGGUAAAGAUAAUCAAAUAACAAAAUAUAUGUUAAAUCUAUACUCACCAAGUUUGGUGUAUGUUGCUCUUUUUAUUUUUUAGUAUUUUAACGCAAUAAAGAGGGGAUAUAGAGCUGCUGAACAGGCAGACACAAAGCCCCAGUACGCAGAGCCCAUGGACGUAGCCUCCUCAUAAAAGAAGUGACAGUUGAUGGUAUUAAUUAAGUCCCAAGAAUCGGGGAAACUUUCAUAACGAUGACAAGGGGUAGACCACAUCGCUUCCAGCACUGGUCAAACCGAAGAGGAAUACAAAAUAACUGAGGCCCAAUUGAUACAGUCAAAUAAUAGACAGACAACAUAAGCUCAAGCACAAAUAAAUCGGUUGACAAACACAGCAAACAAAAUAUAUUAAAUAUUGAAAAUUCACUUUAUUAUUAAAUACCCUAAGAUCAACUCUUUCUGCAAGAGUCAUCAUCUUUUCAGUAUCGCACAACAGACAACAUUUCAGAGAUGGAUAAAGUCGGUAGCCAACUUGUAAGCUUCGACCGCAUUGUCGUUAUCAACAGUAUUAAGCUCCCCUAUUAAACAUACCCGUAACGAGCUCAAGGCCGACGCGUCAACAAAGGCCGUAGAUAAGGGGUAUUUUUCCAAGCGCUAAUAAGCGGUGCUACCGUCAGCGGUCUUGCCCUCCUCAAACGGUAUUUGAGAAGGAGGGAAGAGAAACGUAAAAUCAGCAAAUUGGUAGCAUAACAUUUGUAUGUAUUUGUCUCAACAUGCCUCCAACGGGAAAGCAGUUAACUGCUGAUGCUAUUGGCGGUUUCACCAGCAUCACAACGGCAGCCUUCAAGAACUUGUUAUAUAUUAGCUGACAAAACAUAAGCAACAGUCAAUAUUGCAGUAGUUAGCGACAGUUUAUGAUAACUUUACGACUUGGACGAGGCACAAUCACGCUACCGGCAACUUACAGCUAGGGUUCAGUGUUAAGAACUCCUUUGUAUUAAUAACUUAAGUGGCAAUUAUAACGGGCAGUCACAAAUAUUAAUUUAUUUAUCAACCAAUUCUGGUAGCUUUCAGGCUAUCUCUAAUAUUACAUUAUAAUUAAUAUAGGUAAAAAGAAACCAUGAAACAUAAAGAAUAUAUAAAUUUAUUAGUUUUGAAGAAAGAAUUCUUGAAGCUCAUGUUGACCAGAGCGCUAUUGGCAGAAGAAUCAAAGAGCAUUUUAGUUGGGAGAUUCUUUUAAAGCUUUAAUGAUCGUUGCUGGCACAAGCAACUCUAUGAGUCCCUGCUCGGCACAUUAAAGUUAGAACAUGCUUGAGAGACGAGCAGUCAAUAAUUCUUACAGGUGUUUAAAAAUGCAGCACUGUUAUAACUCUUCUAUCUUCCAGCGAUGAUAAUAAACAUGUUAUAUAGAAGUAGAAGUAGACCACGACAACUCCCAUAAGGUGCGGACAAAGUAUUGCUGAUGCAUACGCGAUUAUAACUGUUGGGCUAACAAAUAUACGUCUUUUUCUUAUAAAAUCAUGCAA